rnacentral:rRNA from 1 species
AGCCAACCAGCUAGCCUCACCCUAAAAGCAACAACACAACAUUAAUUAAACCCUAAUUACAGGAACUCCAUAAAAACAAACCAUUUUACCCCCCGAGUACGGGCGACCGAAAAGGAACUACUAGAGCAACAGAAAUAGUACCGCAAGGGAACGCUGAAAAAGAAAUGAAACAAACCAGUUUAAGCCUCAAAAAGCAGGGAUCUCCCCCCGUACCUUUUGCAUCAUGAUUUAGCUAGCACUCUUCAAGCAAAACGUACUUUAGUUUGAAACCCCGAAACUACGGUGAGCUACUUCAAGCCAGCCUAUCCAUAGGGCCAACCCGUCUCUGUCGCAAAAGAGUGGGAAGAGCUUCAAGUAGAGGUGAAAAAUCUACCGGACCUAGUUAUAGCUGGUUGCCUGAGAAAUGAAUUUUAGUUCAGCCUUUACGCUUCUCCCGCUCCCAAAACUUUAUCCACUACCAGUCAUUCUUAUAGUCCCGGCGCCCCGCCAACACAGGACCCACAAAUAGAAGCCUAAAGAGUUAGUCAAAGGAGGUACAGCUCCUUUGAAACAAGACACAACUUUCCCAGGCGGAUAAAGAUCAUACACCCUUAAGGACCCAGCCGAUGUGGGCUUAAAAGCAGCCACCCAACAAUUAACGCGUUAUAGCUAAGGCAAAACAACUAUCCCCAAAUCCAGAUACCCCGAUCUUACUCCCCUAACCCCUAACCCACCAGGCCCGCCAUGCUGUCAUGGCAGUGACCAUGCUAAUAUGAGUAAUAAGAAAGUAUUUCGCCUCUCUCCCCGCACACAUAUACCUCGAAAUGAACCCCCACCGAAACUCAACGGACCCAAACAAAGAGGGGAUUUGGACAUUUAACCUGAAACCUAGAAAACCCCCAAAUAUUUCUACCCGUUAACCCUACACUGGUGUGCCCCUAAGGAAAGACUAAAAAAAGAAGAAGGAACUCGGCAAACAAUUUGAGCCCCGCCUGUUUACCAAAAACAUCGCCUCUUGCUAUACCCAAAUAUAAGAGGUCCCGUCUGCCCCCUGACUAUAUGUUCAACGGCCGCGGUAUCUUAACCGUGCGAAGGUAGCGUAAUCAUUUGUCUUUUAAUUGAGGACCCGUAUGAAUGACAUAACGAGGGCUCAACUGUCUCCUUCUUUCAGUCAAUGAAAUUGAUCUCCCCGUGCAGAAGCGGGGAUUUAUACAUAAGACGAGAAGACCCUAUGAAGCUUUAGACACUCGGACAUACCCUGUCAAGACCCCCUUAUUAAAGGGCCAAAACCUACCCACCAUGUCCCUGUCUUAGGUUGGGGCGACCCCGGGGAACAAAAAUCCCCCACGUGGAACAGUAGAAUUCACUAUCCACAACCAAGAGCCACGACUCUAAAAACCAGAACCUCUGACCACAAUAAUGACCCGGCAAUGCCGAUCAACGAACCAAGUUACUCUAGGGAUAACAGCGCAAUCCCCUUUUUAGAGACCGCAUCAACAAGGGGGUUUACGACCUCGAUGUUGGAUCAGGACAUCCUAAUGGUGCAGCCGCUAUUAAGGGUUCGUUUGUUCAACGAUUAAAGUCCUACGUGAUCUGAGUUCAGACCGGAGCGAUCCAGGUCAGUUUCUAUCUAUGAUCUGUUCUUUUCUAGUACGAGAGGACCGAAAAGAAGGGGCCCCUGCCAAAAGCACGCCUCCUCCCUAACCCAGGAAAACAACUAAAAAGACAAAGGGACACAUCACUGCACCGCAGAGAAUGGUGCA